GUACAUCGCCUUUCCAGGCCUGCCAGGUGCUGUCCCAAACGGAAUCGUGUAUCGCCGAACAUCUGACUGACAAUUCAGAGAGAGCAACCUACGAGAGCAGAGGGACUUUCCUUCCUGUGCCACAGUCAAUAUCUGAUGACGUCUUUUACGUCAACGUGCUGGUGCUUGACGGGUUGCCCUUACAACCCCUGAUACCCUACCAAACUGUAAGCCAAUACGGGUUCAAGUAUACUCUUGUGCCAUACAACCAAGACGAAGGCGCAAGAGCUACCGACAAAGCCACACAAACAGCUGUUCCAACUUGCACUCUU